UGGCCUGCCCACUGAAGGAAUGAUUUUUAAGGGCCGCGGUAUUAUGACUGUGCAAAGGUAGCAUAAUCAUUAGGUUUUUAAAUGGAAUUUUGUAUGAAUGGUUGGACAAAGGAAAARCUGUCUUUUUUUUAAGUGUAGAAUUUUACUUUUAGGUGAGAAGGCUUAAAUAGUUUAGAGGGACGAUAAGACCCUAUAAAGCUUUACAUUAUAAUUACAUUUGAUUAAAUUUAAUAUAAAAGUUUGAUGUAGUUUUUGUUAUAUUGGGGAGAUAAGGGUAUAAAUUAUAAUAACUGCUUUAAUUAAGAACAAUUAUAAGUAAAAGGGAUCCUUUUANAGAAUAAAAG
rnacentral:rRNA from 1 species